UACGAAGGGAGCUAGCGUUGUUCGGAAUCACUGGGCAUAAAGCGCACGUAGGCGGAUGUGUCAGUCAGGGGUGAAAUCCCGGAGCUCAACUUCGGAACUGCCUUUGAUACAGCACGUCUUGAGUCCGAUAGAGGUGGGUGGAAUUCCUAGUGUAGAGGUGAAAUUCGUAGAUAUUAGGAAGAACACCGAUGGCGAAGGCGGCCCACUGGAUCGGUACUGACGCUGAGGUGCGAAAGCGUGGGGAGCGAACAGG
rnacentral:rRNA from 1 species